rnacentral:rRNA from 1 species
AUUGAACGCUGGCGGCAUGCCUUACACAUGCAAGUCGAACGGCAGCACGGGAGCAAUCCUGGUGGCGAGUGGCGAACGGGUGAGUAAUAUAUCGGAACGUGCCCAGUCGUGGGGAUAACGUAGCGAAAGCUACGCUAAUACCGCAUACGAUCUAUGGAUGAAAGCGGGGGAUCGCAAGACCUCGCGCGAUUGGAGCGGCCGAUAUCAGAUUAGGUAGUUGGUGAGGUAAAGGCUCACCAAGCCGACGAUCUGUAGCUGGUCUGAGAGGACGACCAGCCACACUGGGACUGAGACACGGCCCAGACUCCUACGGGAGGCAGCAGUGGGAAUUUUGGACAAUGGGCGCAAGCCUGAUCCAGCAAUGCCGCGUGCAGGAUGAAGGCCUUCGGUUGUAACUGCUUUUGUUACGGAACGAACGGUAGAGCUCUAAUACAGUUUGCUAAUGACGGUACCGUAAGAAUAAGACACCGGCUAACUACGUACG